rnacentral:rRNA from 1 species
GUGAACGCUGGCGGUAGGCCUAACACAUGCAAGUCGAACGGCAGCACAGUAAGAGCUUGCUCUUACGGGUGGCGAGUGGCGGACGGGUGAGGAAUACAUCGGAAUCUACUUUUUCGUGGGGGAUAACGUAGGGAAACUUACGCUAAUACCGCAUACGACCUACGGGUGAAAGCAGGGGAUCUUCGGACCUUGCGCGAUUGAAUGAGCCGAUGUCGGAUUAGCUAGUUGGCGGGGUAAAGGCCCACCAAGGCGACGAUCCGUAGCUGGUCUGAGAGGAUGAUCAGCCACACUGGAACUGGGACACGGUCCAGACUCCUACGGGAGGCAGCAGUGGGGAAUAUUGGACAAUAGGCGCAAGCCUGAUCCAGCCAUACCGCGUGGGUGGAGGAGGCCUUCGGGUUGUAAAGCCCUUUUGUUGGGAAAGAAAAGCAGCAGGUUGAUACCCCGCUGUUCUGACGGUACCCAAAGAAUAAGCACCGGCUAACUUCGUG